AGGGGAAAUGAUUAUUUUGGGGAGGAGGGACGGGGUAGGGAACAGCCGCAGCAGACGGAAUGUAAACAUGGCUGCCCCCAUAAGAAGUCUGUUUACGGCUAGCUGUUUUAACAAAUUGCCUCGUACAGUUUUCAUUUCAAAUCAGUCUUCAAUAUGUGGGAUCCACACAUCCAGUGCUCUGGAUAAAUAUGCCAACUGGAAGAUGGUGAAAGAAGUUAGAAAUCGUAAAAUAGUAAAAGAAUUUGCUUUUGAAAGACUGAACAUCAAUGCCAUAAGAAAAGCUAAUAAGAUUAUGCCUCCAGAGAUUGUUGAAAUGGCAGAUGGGGAAAUUGAUGCUCUUCCACGAGACUCAAGCAUUUCUAGGUUGCAUAAAAGAUGUGCUAUUACAUCCAGACCAAGAGGACUUGUAACAAGGUAAUGUAUAUUUGUACCAAGUAAACUAAUCCUGUAUGCUUAGAU